rnacentral:misc_RNA from 1 species
UUGGCUGUGCGCGACGCAUGC